GGCCUCGAUCAGCCGGGGGACCGGCUACUUGACCUUCAUCGGCAGGUUCGGCGACUUCUCGUUCAGGUCCAGGUCGAGCUGG
rnacentral:tRNA from 1 species